UGAAGUUAAACUUUAGUCCUGCUACUACCAUGGGAUCGACCUCAUAUCACCCCUUUUUCAUCAUCUGACAAGGGUGGAGAUUGGAGCAAAAGCAAGGAAUCUCCUCACUACACUCCAUGCUUAGGUUUCUGUUGGACAAAGUGAGUUUUCUCUAGCAACUAAGCCUAAUUAGGGAUUAAAGUAGGGGCUAAACAAGUGAAAUAGUGGUAAGAAGCUCUCCUACACAUAUAUAUUUGAGUACUCUCUCCCCUUACUGAAAGAAAAUAACAAAAAAAAUACUGUUGCAAAUUAACAAAUUCAGAAAAUGCUAAUAUGAAAGAGAAUGCCAUAUUCUAAGAAAUUUUUUUACCAUAAUCCCAUAGGCAAUAUUAGUAUUUUAUUAAUAGGAUGUUAAUAGCCCAUUAACUCUAACAAGGUCCAGGUAUCAUGCAAAGUCCAGGUAUCAUGCCAGGUGUUUUAUUAUAGAGCAAACCCCUAUGUCCUGUAUUUCCCAAGAAAGUACUAGCUCACACCUGUUGUCCUGAUAUAAUUUUAAUAACAUCCCUGUUCACUCACAAAAGCAUACCAGUUUGAAUGACAACUUAUAUGGUUAUACUAUUUUUAUGUGACUGAUUACCCUUUAUCUUAAAGAGAACUGUGACAAAGACGCUAUUAUUAUGAUCCUCAUUGAGAAACUGAUUUACAUAAAGGUUAAAUAAUGUAUUUAAAGCCACACAGUUUUUAAGUGGCAGUAGCUGGAAGUCAAACCCAGACUGUCUGGCCGCAGAGCCUGAAAUGGUGGCUUCCCAACAUUUGUCCUGAAGCUGGGCCCAUGAGUGAGUGACUUUUUGUUUUCUUUUUCUUUUCUUUUUUUUUUUUUUAGACAGGGUGGAGUGCAGUGGUGGGAUCACAGCUCACUGCAGCCUCGACCUUUCUGGCUCAAGUGAUCCUCCCACCUCAGCCUCCUGAGUAGCUUGAGACAACAGGCACGCAUGACCACACUUGGAUAAUUUUUGUAUUUUUUUUUUUUUGGUAGAGAUGUGGUUUUGCCAUGUUGCCCAGGCUGGUCUUGAACUCCUGGGCUCAAGUGAUCCACCUGCCUUGGCCUCCCAAAGUGCUGGGAUUACAGGCUUGAGCCACCACACCCUGCACGACUUCUAAUUCAAAGGAUGUUAUUAGAUUGGAGGAGAAACUGGAUGCAGACUUGGGUUCUCUUCCUCAAGAUAAACUGCUGUGUAUGCCUUCAUUCUCAUCUUUAUCCUCCCACAGUCGGGUAAAGGAAUUAUGUGAGUAUAUGAAGGGACAAGCUCUCAGAAGGCACUGAGAAGAAAGUGCAGAAUGGAGACAGAUCUCACCUGACUCUAGCAAAUGCCAAAAAGCAAGGAAAAAGACCCUUGAUCUCAUGCUACUACUAUGGUUCAGCUGCAAAGAGUGCACCUGUGAUACCAGCUCCUAGCAAUCCAACACCAAUAAUCUUGAUUCUGCAAAUUUUCACUUCCAAGAAGUUUACAAAACACAUCUGUAAUAUUUAAAGGUAAGUUUUUAAUUUAUACCUGCUUCUACUUAUCUCUGAGGAAGAAAAAAUGAUUAGACAUGUAUAAUUUAAAUAUUUGAAGGAAGAAGCCAUUAUGAGUGAGUCUAAAAUUAGCAAACCAACACAAAACAAGAUAUAAAAGCUUGAAAAUUACUUAAUUUCAAAAUAUAUUUCUACAAAUGGAGUAAAUAUGCUGAGUGUAUGUGAAAACACUAUGUAUAAAAGCAAGUCCAUCCUGAGAUUUUUCAAACAAGUUGAAGAAAAUUCUUUUUAAAAAAGGCAAAAAGCCAUUAACAGAGUGUUAACACUGCGCCACCUUAUGGAGAACUUGUCAACUCCUAAGAAAUGCGCUCAAGAACUUAAAACGUGUAUUUCAUCAGGGAGGGUUCUAAGAGCCUUUGUCAGGGAUGAAGCUCUGGAUAU
rnacentral:lncRNA from 10 species